GUGAGUAACGGAAAUAGAAACAAUGUGGCAGCAGGAGAGUGGCAGAGUGUUGGUUGGUAGUACAGUGAAGUGGAUGGGAGAGCGCCAGAGGGAGCCGUAGAGAGGAGCGAUACAGAUAUACCGUCGUGGAGUACAUGUACAAUAUAUCAUGCUUAAAAUUUUCUUUAGAGCGUCGAUGUUAAAAAGGAUUCAAGGCGAUGUUAUUGGUUUUAAUGUGCUUGUUUUCUCGGGUACAUAAGAUAUUGCAAGGGUUGGUUAAAGUUAUAUCGAUAAACUUCCAUCGGGUCCAGCGCAAAAAUUGAUACACUGUUAGCUUUAAAGUUCUUAAAGACCUAUGUUUAUGAAAUUAAAGACCUAUGUUUAUGAAAUUAACGUUUUACUUUCUAAAGUGGUUUUAUUUUGGAGAACUCGUAAUAGCCCACCAUCAAACAGCAUUAAAUUCGCCCAAUGUACCAGUGGAGAAGUGAGGACUUAUCAUUAGAUCCUAAAUAAUUUUGUGCCAUUUGCCGAAUAAUUAUAAUAGUAAAAUCAAUACUGCAUGGUCUAGGUUUGGUAAAUGGAUGUAUAACGGUGUAGUUGUGCAGGUGUAUAUGAGUGAGAUGUGUCUUACAGUUGUGCUUGAUUAUAGGUGUGUUGUGGUCUAGGUGGUGCUGGUCAGCAGGUGUAGAAAGUGUUGUGGUCUAGGUGCUGCUGGUCAGCAGGUGUAGAAAGUGUUGAGGUCUAGGUGGUGCUGGUCAGCAGCUGUAGGAAAGUCGUUUUAUUUAGUUAUUCUUUGCACAAAGUAUCAAACAUCAGCAUGGUAUUUUCACCAAACUAGGUAUGUGUCAUGGUCAAAGCCGUUAAAUGAUCAAGGAUGUCCCUCUAGUAAGCCUUUAAUCGUAUACAUUACAGUACCUUAUCUAAAAUAAACGAUUGAAAGGUACAAGAACAGAAUGUAGGCCUAUAUAAAUAUAAUCAAGGCAGUUAAGUAAAUUAUGCUUGAGUUGAUUCAAUAACUGCAUAUUUUAGAAAUACGUGAUAAUACAUAGUGUCCGAGGAGUACGUUACAUACAGUUAGUGACACAGUUAUUGAGCGAGAAACAGGACCCUUGGAGGACAGCUAGUUAUCCUGGCUAUGACCUUCCCGUGUGACUAUCCUCAGGCCACGCGCUGUAUAGAAACAUGAUUGAGCUUACGUCAUUUUACAUUGAAGCUACUU
ensembl:lncRNA